ensembl:lncRNA
GCCCUCUGUGUUUCCAAGGCUUUCCACAGACUCGGCAGGGAGAGUGUUUCCUGGUGUUUGGAAACCUCUCUUCUUAAAACUCCCUUCCCGGAACGGGCUUCCCUUCCUGGGACGGAGCUCCCUCCCCACCUCCUUUGUCUACUUUCUCAUCUUUUAUAUUUUUCCUACCUGUUUUUGAAGAUAAUGGUCUGCUUUUCUGGUUGCCUGAUGUCCUCUGCCAGCCUAUAGAAGUUGUUUUGUGGAGUUUGCUCAGCGUUGAAAUGUUCUUUUGAGGAAUUUGUGAGGGAGAAAGUGGUCUUCCCGUCCUAUUCCUCCGCCAUCUUUUCUAUCCAUCCUGAGCUCUAACAUUAGAGUCAGCUUUCUUGUCGAUUUUACAUAAGGAUCUGUGUCUUUCUCUCGAGGUGCCACAGGGCUGUAAAACAUGCAAUCGUGUUGUGAGUCAGUACACGGGGUGACAGUUGAGUCAGUGUAGGGGAAUCAGCUAUAUUUGGCAUGGACUGGGACAUUGUGGUCCUUUGUAAUGAUGGCAUGACCCCUGCAGUUCUUUCAACUUUCAACUUGUCACCGGCUCCUUUUGAGGGGAGACUGGAACGCCGGGAUUCCUUUCCAGAUGAGGCAGGGCAAGGGACCCUUAUCUCGAGAUGAGGAUGGAAAACGGGGCACUUCUUGUGUUGUGGCAGGUCCCUAGGUGUUCUUACCCGGUGGUGACGGGUAUGUCGGGGAACUUCUUGAGUUGCGUCAAGGGUAUCAAGGACCCUUUCGAGGCUCAAGAGGCAAGCUGGGUUUCUCUUGAGACCCUACAGCAGAAAAGGGCCGCAUCUCGCUUUGAGAGUUGAUCUCCUGGUUUUUCACGAGGGGCAGCAGGAAACAGGUUCCUCUCGAAUUACCAUGGGGAUUUCAGUUACCUGCUCGUGUGGCCUCAGGAAAGUCCGCUCUCCAUGCAAGUUGCUAGUGACCUCUCGGGAUUCCUCUCCAGUCGGUGCCGGGUCCUAGGUCCUCAAUUGUAGCUGAGGCUGCAACGUCACGGUUCCUCUCCAGUGCUGACAUGGAUCUCAGGGUUGCUAUGGAAUUUCCACAGGGGUGUCAGGCCUCGUCUCGUGUGGGAACAUUCAAGUCCGCUUUUCUCCUGAGCUCUAACGUUAGAGUCAGCUUUCUUGUCGAGUUUCUAUAGGUAUCUGUGACUUUCUCUCGAGGUGGCACAGGGCUGUCACCCAUGCCAUCGUGUUGCGAGUCGAUACUUGGGGUGACAGUCAAGUCAGUGCAGGGGAAUCAGGUGUAUCUGGAGUGGACUGGGACAUCAGGGUCUUUCGGGAUGGUGGCACGACCCAUGGAGUUCCUCUCAACUUUCAUUUUAAGAGAGCCUCUUCUUCAGGUGCGACGGGAACGCUGGGAUUCCUUUCCCGACGAAGCAGGGAAAGGGACCCUCAUCUCAAGAUGAGGAGGGAAAAACGGGGCUCUUCCUGAUUUGUUGCUGGACCCUCUGUGUUCUUCUCGAGUGGAGACGGGUAUGUCAGGCAAUUUUUGAGUUGCAUCAAGGGUGUGAAGUACCCUUUCG